GGUGAGGUGUCCGAGUGCUGAAGGAGCACGCCUGGAAAGUGUGUAUACGGCAACGUAUCGGGGGUUCGAAUCCCCCCCUCACCGCCA
rnacentral:tRNA from 1 species